CUUCAGUGGGUCUGGACUCAGACAAGAAACUUGCAUUUCCUACAGGUUUCCAGGUUAUACUGAAGUUCCAGUUCCUGGGAUCCCAUUUUAAGAACCACUGUUCUAAGACAUCAGGCAGUUUCCAAAUGGCCUACUAGAAGCAACCCGACCACUCUCAGGCUUUUCUAUAAGAUGAAAAUCUGGUGUUUCUGAGACACCAGAUUUUGUCUAUCUCACACUUAUAUAUAUAGCUCUCAGCCAUCAGCGGGCUGCAGAAUCACCUGUAAAGAUCCCCAAGGCUCCAUUAAUCUGCACGGGAACCCAACAUCUACAGUUAAAAAGCCUCCUCAGAUGUCUAACCUGGAAUUACUGAGGUUUAUCCCAGAACCCUGCUGUGCCCUUUAUUGGACUGAAGUCUAGCACCACACAACAUCAUUACAGCGCCAGGUACGGUAUUUAAGUGCAAGGGACCUGGUGAUGGCUCGGACACAGUUUCUACACGGAUGGAACCAACAGUCUCAGGCUGUGUUGCUGGAAAUUUUCAGGGAACCAGUUAUGCCCGGGGAUCCCACCCUGCUGCACCCCUUCAACUGGGGGACUGGGGGAAUUCUGGUCAUCAGAGAAAAUGCACGCACACAUGCAAACAUCACACUAGCAAAA